UGCAAGUCGAACGGCAGCAUGAUCUAGCUUGCUAGAUUGAUGGCGAGUGGCGAACGGGUGAGUAAUACAUCGGAACGUGCCCUGUAGUGGGGGAUAACUAGUCGAAAGAUUAGCUAAUACCGCAUACGACCUGAGGGUGAAAGUGGGGGACCGCAAGGCCUCAUGCUAUAGGAGCGGCCGAUGUCUGAUUAGCUAGUUGGUGGGGUAAAGGCCCACCAAGGCGACGAUCAGUAGCUGGUCUGAGAGGACGAUCAGCCACACUGGGACUGAGACACGGCCCAGACUCCUACGGGAGGCAGCAGUGGGGAAUUUUGGACAAUGGGCGAAAGCCUGAUCCAGCAAUGCCGCGUGUGUGAAGAAGGCCUUCGGGUUGUAAAGCACUUUUGUCCGGAAAGAAAUGGCUCUGGUUAAUACCUGGGGUCGAUGACGGUACCGGAAGAAUAAGGACCGGCUAACUACGUGCCAGCAGCCGCGGUAAUACGUAGGGUCCAAGCGUUAAUCGGAAUUACUGGGCGUAAAGCGUGCGCAGGCGGUUGUGCAAGACCGAUGUGAAAUCCCCGAGCUUAACUUGGGAAUUGCAUUGGUGACUGCACGGCUAGAGUGUGUCAGAGGGGGGUAGAAUUCCACGUGUAGCAGUGAAAUGCGUAGAGAUGUGGAGGAAUACCGAUGGCGAAGGCA
rnacentral:rRNA from 1 species